AUGCCCUGCCUUAUCUUUUACUUGUCAUGAGUCAUUAAGCACCAUAAGGUAUUUCAAAUAUCAAAUAGUAAAGCUCUUUCAAAUCAAUAUAGUGGUUUAGCUAAAAAUAUUUCUCAUUCAUAAAUCUUGUAAAAACUUUAGGAAGGACUCACCCUUUUUCAAUUGUAUUCAAAUAACCAUCAUAUAAACGUAAGAACAACAAUAACACGAGUAAUACUCUUCAAAACCAUUU
rnacentral:lncRNA from 1 species